rnacentral:lncRNA from 1 species
UUAUUUUCAGGUUUCAUGCCGUCUCUUCGACAACUUUCAUGUGCUGCCUCCAAACUCUCCCUGUCAAACAGCAAAUGGAGUCUAAAAAGACAAAUCUAUGUGAAGAAUCUGGGUUUCCAUCUCCAAGCAGCCGGAAUUUGAGCAUCUACUCUGCCUUUUUUUAUUUCUAAUGGACGCUAAUUUGGGUUUGUUUUCUUUUCCAGUGCCCCAUUACAUGUUUCUCUUCCUUUUCGCUUAGUUUUCAAAGAAAUCCCAAAUAUGUUAUUUCUUUGUUUCUCCUAUUUCGGCCUUAGCUUUUGAGUUCGUGUCAAAGUUUUCCAUCUUGAUUCCAGUUUGUCGGUGUCUUCUAUGAUUUUUGAUUUCUAGUGAUUUUUAUUCCGAUUUUUUCUUUCUCAAUUUGGCUGAGUAUCUAAAAGUUUGUGCAUGCAUAUCAAAUUGUCAAUUGUUGCUAUGUUUUUUGAGGAUGAAUAGGUUUUGAAAUGCCUGUUAAGGAUGAAAUUGGUAGACAUGGAUAAAAAAAUGCAAAAUCUAUUUAGCAAAUAAAGAAACCAGAAGACUUACAUCGUUGGGUACCCUCUGUUCUCUUUGACCUAUGGUUCUGCACAAUUUGUUGUGUUUUUGUUUUAAGUUGUUUUAAUUUUUUCCUUGUGGUACAUUGCAGAAUUGUUAAAGCAACAAAAUAUUUGUUCAAGGAUGCUAACAGAAAUGCUCCUUGAAAAUGAGGUAACUCCCUCCUUUGCUGGAACUGCCUUGAAAAGAAAAAGUCCGAUCAGCACCAUGACAAGAAGAAGAUGGUAAAUUCUAUUGUGGAUGUUGUUAUAUAGUGCUCUACCCUUCUCAUGACAAGAAAAAAGACUCAUAUUUAUGUUGCUAGAUUAAAUAAUGAGAUCCUUCUGAAUGUUACAUAGCUAUGGCUCUUUGGAUCAACAUUUAUUUGAAUCUAGGACAAGCUAUUAUUACAAAUACAAGGUCGGAUAACUCAUUAUAUGAAUUGGUGUUUUUAGAACAUACCAUGCAGCACAACAAGAUUAUAGCAAAGUGUCAACUGGAUUAUUCAGCUAAUGUCAAAGUCAUGGAUAGAACAAAAAGGGGGCUUGUUAAAAGCCUGAAACUCAAUUCAGGAGCUCGGGGUAUGUACUUUUGUGGAAUUUAUAACUAGAUACGACACAACACUUAUAUCGGGCCUUGUAGUUUUAAAAUUGAAGGUUCUCUCAUUAGGAAGUGCCACAAAAUAAAAUGCUAUACAGAAUAUACCGACAUAGAGGAAGCAUCAUAAAUAACAUCCCAUAAAAUGCAAAGUUUAUUGUACAUGGAAAGAAAGAAAAUAUCCACUAAAAUUAUUGAGUGAUUUAUUGAAACCCAUAAUCCUCAUCUUCUUUGCUAACAUCUUCCAUGAUGACAACACUGUAGGUUCCACAACUUCGACUUUAUUCUUUUUGAUAAAUAAACUAAAUAUUUUUAUUUUAUGUGGUAACUGUGUCAAAUAUAUUUCUCGCAGGUUGAAGAGAGCCAGAAUCAACUUUUACUUUGAUAUUUUGUCCCAACAAAUUCUAUUUUGCGUUAUGGGUUAUAAAUUGCUGUUGUUUGGAUUAGAAUAGUGAAUGUGAUGUUAUAUUUUGUUCUUCCUUGUGUAGCUCAACAAUUCGGGACAAAAUAACUCCUCAUGUAUGGUUUACUGGUGAGACUGCUGAAGGGGAUUCAGUCUGAAAAUAUAAAAGAUGUUAUUGAAGAAGAUGAUGAUUAAGAAGAUGAAGAAGACGAGGAUGAAGAGGAGAUGAAGGAACAGAAGGUGAAAUUUAUUUUUCAUGCUUUUACAAAGUGAUUCAAUUUUUUCAUGUUAAUCUGUGCUGCGAUAUUCUAGUGAAUGAGGGUUCUUAGAUUUUUACAAAUUAAAGUUGAUGUCUGUCCUUUCUCAGCUACUACAUUUCUACUAUAUAGAUGCAUGAAAAAAGAUUCUUUGUUCGACGUGUGUGCUUUUAGGUCAUUCUAUAUUUAUCGAUCGCAAUUUAGUCAAUUUACAUAUUAGCUGAUGUAUACAUUUCUUGGUGGCUUUCGUGCCUACAGCUAGCACAUAGCCACCGCAAAGCUUCCUCCAUUCUACUUUUCCGGUUCCAUUCCAUUCCUUUUCGAGAUAAUUUCUGUCUUUUCAGAUUACUCUUUCAAUUUUCAGGUAAGCUACUCCUCCUAUUCUUAGCCAAAUCUUCUUUUUUACUUCAAUUUACAUGUAUGUAUGAUGUUCUGUCAUCUGAAUUUUUUAGAGUUUUUCUUUCUUUGAUUUUUUCAAUCUGAUCUUAGUAUCUGGGAUAAGAAAGUAGACAUAUCUCUCACUGGAAAAAUGGUGGAAUUCCUGACUUUUUUCUUUUUGGUUUCCUCCUAUACAUUGGAUGCUCAAUACAUUGUAUAUAGGCACGUUUUUUCUCAGAUUAUGUGCAAUAUUUUGCUGCAUACUCGAAAUUUCACUUUCAUUCCCAUCUAUCUAUUGUAGGAUAAAUUGAACCAGCAAAGAAUUUAGUAGCUGACUCUCCUUUUUCCGCUCCAUUUGUAAGUUCUACAUGAAAUGGCUAUUUACUUUUAUAUUGAAUUAAUUUUAAAGGCAAGAGACUUAAAGUUGUGAUUUUGAUGAAUAGGUAAAAUCGUAUUUGUCUAUUGAGGUAGCAGAUACUUCGGCUUGAUUCAAUGGUGUAUCAAUAUUAUUCUUGCUUAAAUUUUCUAAAAGCGACUUAGUGUCCACUGGUUAGCCUUUUUCACUACGAAUGGGUUUGCUGAAGUUUCCUUGGUUGAAUGCGAUAAUGGAUAACAUAUCGUUAAACCAACUUUAAUAUAAGUAAUAAUUUACUUGCAAAUGAUUUUAUUAUGUCCGAUUUGAACCCUGAAGAUCAAUUCUAUUCUUUUCAGGUGGUUUUGAUAGAACUACAUGUAUGUAUGUAUGUCAUAUUAUCUUUGUCCAUGUUGAUGUACUUAUUUGUUCAUAAAUUUUAGGUUGUCUAUCCUUGAUGUUUUAUUAUGCACUUAAUAUUAGGAGUGACUUAACGCUGAAGUGGUCGGGCAACCCAAACAUCGUGUUAGGUAUUGGAAACAAGCUACAGACUUUCGCUUAAUUCUCAAGUUUAUGUAUCGCAAUGUGUCUCUUCUUAGCUGCUCUGUGUAUUCUGAACAUUAAUGGUAACUCAUGUUCUCUCCUAAAUGAGCUAAAACAACAGAAAUCAGCAGAAUUACUUUUUUGGUGAUUGGAUCUAUGAAGAUAUAUGGAUAAAAAAGCUGUAGAGCAACUGAAAACAUAUAAUACUAAUGGUUCUACAAAUGAGAUUCAAGUGUGUAAGAGAAACAAAGGACCAAC